AAUAGAUACCCGGGUAGUCCACGCCGUAAACGAUGGAUGCUAGCUGUUUGGAGGUAUCGACCCCUUCAGAAGCGAAGCUAACGCGCUAAGCAUCCCGCCUGAGUAGUACGAGCGCAAGCUUAAAACUCAAAGGAAUAGACGGGGACCCGCACAAGCGGUGGAGCGUGUUCUUUAAUUGGAUGAUAAGCCAAGAACCUUACCCAGGUUUGACAUCCUGCGAAGGACUCCGAAAGGAAUCUGUGCUUUUUGAACGCAGUGACAGGUGUUGCAUGGCCGUCGUCAGCUCGUGUCGUGAGAUGUUGGGUUAAGUCCCGCAACGAGCGCAACCCUUAUAGUUAGUUGGUAUUUUUACUAACUAGACUGCCUCGGUAACGGGGAGGAAGGAGGGGAUGAUGUCAGGUCCGUAUCACCCUUACACCGUGGGGCUAGAAACGCGCUACAAUGGCCGGUACAAUGGGCAGCCAAAUCGCAAGAUGGAGCUAAUCCCACCAAAGCCGGUCUCAGUUCGGAUUGGAGGCUGCAACUCGCCUGCAUGAAGCCGG
rnacentral:rRNA from 1 species